GCCUAUGGCUGUACUACCCUAAACACACCUGAUCUCAUCUGAUCUCGGAAACUAAGCAGGGUCAGGCCUGGUUAGUACUUGGAUGGGAGACCUUCUGGGAAUACUGGGUGCCAUAGGCU